rnacentral:lncRNA from 1 species
CGAGAGAGUGCGCGUGCGCAGUGUGUUUUCUCUGUAAUUCUGGGCCGUGUUCCGGAAGCCUCGUAAGACAAAAGCGAACGAGAGGCGGAAAAAAGGAAGACGCUUCCUGAAGUUGGGGAUGCUGGACUAGUUUUCAUACUAGAUCCCCUCGUGGCAGCAUUAAGGAACUUCACAUUCUUCUCACACUAUUCAUGGAAAGUUCCUGGAACUCCCACAGCAGCAAGAAAACUUCGCUUGUAGGAGUCCUUAGCACAUCUGUAAAGUUUUAUUGGCCAAAAUGUGAUACAUCUCCAUUUCUGGAUCAGUCACUGUGGUCAAGUGCAAGACGCUCUACAGGACUCAACCUGGGGAUGAGGUCUGUCUACUCCAUCCAUAUGGUCACUUUAUACUGAGGUUGGAUACCAACAUUCUCAGGGCAGAGUGGGAGUUGGGGGGAGUCUAUAUGUUAUUUUCAGAAGAAUUCAGCCACCUGUAGAAUACAACUGACUAUUCUUAAAAUUCCCGGGAAGUGGAAGCUGACUUUUCUGAAGGCAGAGGGGCUUGGGAACACAGCACUGCUCCCUAAUCUCCCUCACAACCAUGUCUUUGUAAUGAGUAAUCAGGAACAUCGCACUCAGCCAACUGAUUUAGAGUACAAGAAACUACUUUGGUACAGGUGAGAAAUCCCAGGGUAGCAGACUACAAACAGGUCAGCA